AGCAGUGGGAGCACCCUUUGGGUGUGACUGCGUACCUUUUGUAUAAUGGGUCAGCGACUUAUAUUCUGUAGCAAGGUUAACCGAAUAGGGGAGCCGGAGGGAAACCGAGUCUUAACCGGGCGUUAAGUUGCAGGGUAUAGACCCGAAACCCGGUGAUCUAGCCAUGGGCAGGUUGAAGGUUGGGUAACACUAACUGGAGGACCGAACCGACUAAUGUUGAAAAAUUAGCGGAUGACCUGUGGCUGGGGGUGAAAGGCCAAUCAAACCGGGAGAUAGCUGGUUCUCCCCGAAAGCUAUUUAGGUAGCGCCUCGUGAAUUCAUCUCCGGGGGUAGAGCACUGUUUCGGCUAGGGGGCCAUCCCGGCUUACCAACCCGAUGCAAACUGCGAAUACCGGAGAAUGUUAUCACGGGAGACACACGGCGGGUGCUAACGUCCGUCGUGAAGAGGGAAACAACCCAGACCGCCAGCUAAGGUCCCAAAGUCAUGGUUAAGUGGGAAACGAUGUGGGAAGGCCCAGACAGCCAGGAUGUUGGCUUAGAAGCAGCCAUCAUUUAAAGAAAGCGUAAUAGCUCACUGGUCGAGUCGGCCUGCGCGGAAGAUGUAACGGGGCUAAACCAUGCACCGAAGCUGCGGCAGCGACACUGUGUGUUGUUGGGUAGGGGAGCGUUCUGUAAGCCUGUGAAGGUGUGUCGUGAGGCAUGCUGGAGGUAUCAGAAGUGCGAAUGCUGACAUAAGUAACGAUAAAGCGGGUGAAAAGCCCGCUCGCCGGAAGACCAAGGGUUCCUGUCCAACGUUAAUCGGGGCAGGGUGAGUCGACCCCUAAGGCGAGGCCGAAAGGCGUAGUCGAUGGGAAACGGGUUAAUAUUCCCGUACUUGGUGUUACUGCGAAGGGGGGACGGAGAAGGCUAUGUUGGCCGGGCGACGGUUGUCCCGGUUUAAGCGUGUAGGUGUGUGUUCCAGGUAAAUCCGGUUCACUUUAACACUGAGGCGUGACGACGAGGCACUACGGUGCUGAAGCAACAAAUGCCCUGCUUCCAGGAAAAGCCUCUAAGCAUCAGGUAACAUCAAAUCGUACCCCAAACCGACACAGGUGGUCAGGUAGAGAAUACCAAGGCGCUUGAGAGAACUCGGGUGAAGGAACUAGGCAAAAUGGUGCCGUAACUUCGGGAGAAGGCACGCUGACACGUAGGUGAAGUGAUUUACUCAUGGAGCUGAAGUCAGUCGAAGAUACCAGCUGGCUGCAACUGUUUAUUAAAAACACAGCACUGUGCAAACACGAAAGUGGACGUAUACGGUGUGACGCCUGCCCGGUGCCGGAAGGUUAAUUGAUGGGGUCAGCGCAAGCGAAGCUCCUGAUCGAAGCCCCGGUAAACGGCGGCCGUAACUAUAACGGUCCUAAGGUAGCGAAAUUCCUUGUCGGGUAAGUUCCGACCUGCACGAAUGGCGUAAUGAUGGCCAGGCUGUCUCCACCCGAGACUCAGUGAAAUUGAACUCGCUGUGAAGAUGCAGUGUACCCGCGGCAAGACGGAAAGACCCCGUGAACCUUUACUAUAGCUUGACACUGAACAUUGAGCCUUGAUGUGUAGGAUAGGUGGGAGGCUUUGAAGUGUGGACGCCAGUCUGCAUGGAGCCGACCUUGAAAUACCACCCUUUAAUGUUUGAUGUUCUAACGUGGACCCGUUACCCGGGUUGCGGACAGUGUCUGGUGGGUAGUUUGACUGGGGCGGUCUCCUCCUAAAGAGUAACGGAGGAGCACGAAGGUUGGCUAAUCCUGGUCGGACAUCAGGAGGUUAGUGCAAUGGCAUAAGCCAGCUUGACUGCGAGCGUGACGGCGCGAGCAGGUGCGAAAGCAGGUCAUAGUGAUCCGGUGGUUCUGAAUGGAAGGGCCAUCGCUCAACGGAUAAAAGGUACUCCGGGGAUAACAGGCUGAUACCGCCCAAGAGUUCAUAUCGACGGCGGUGUUUGGCACCUCGAUGUCGGCUCAUCACAUCCUGGGGCUGAAGUAGGUCCCAAGGGUAUGGCUGUUCGCCAUUUAAAGUGGUACGCGAGCUGGGUUUAGAACGUCGUGAGACAGUUCGGUCCCUAUCUGCCGUGGGCGCUGGAGAACUGAGGGGGGCUGCUCCUAGUACGAGAGGACCGGAGUGGACGCAUCACUGGUGUUCGGGUUGUCAUGCCAAUGGCACUGCCCGGUAGCUAAAUGCGGAAGAGAUAAGUGCUGAAAGCAUCUAAGCACGAAACUUGCCCCGA
rnacentral:rRNA from 1 species